rnacentral:rRNA from 1 species
CCCUUAGAUGUUCUGGGCCGCACGCGCGCUACACUGACGAAUGCAACGAGCUUAUAACCUCGGCCGAAAGGUCUGGGUAAUCUCCAAAUUUCGUCGUGAUGGGGAUAGAUUAUUGCAAUUAUUAAUCUUCAACGAGGAAUGCCUAGUAAGCGCAAGUCAUCAGCUUGCGUUGAUUACGUCCCUGCCCUUUGUACACACCGCCCGUCGCUCCUACCGAUUGAAUGGUCCGGUGAAGCGUUCGGACCGUGGCCUUUGGACGGUUCGCCGUCUGUUGGCUGCGGGAAGUUCGUUAAACCUUAUCAUUUAGAGGAAGGAGAANUCGUAACA